rnacentral:rRNA from 1 species
CUAUUGAAAAUAAUUUUAGGUUUAGCCUGCCCAAUGAAAAUUUAAAUGGCCGCAGUAUAUUAACUGUGCAAAGGUAGCAUAAUCAUUUGUUUUUUAAUUGAAAGCUGGAAUGAAAGGUUGAAUGAGAAAAUAACUGUCUCUAAUUANAUUUUUUAAAAUUUUAUUUUUAAGUAAAAAAGCUUAAAUAUUUUUUGAAGACGAGAAGACCCUAUAGAGUUUGAUAGUUUAAAUUUUGGAUAGUBUGGAAUUAAUAUUUUUAAUUUAUAAAAUUAUUUAAUUGGGGUGAUUGAAAAAUUUAAUUAACUUUUUUUUUAUUUUUACAUAAAUUAAUGAAUAAUUGAUCCUUAAAAAGAUUAAAAGAAUAAAUUACCUUAGGGAUAACAGCGUAAUUUUUUUUUAGAGUUCAAAUUAAAAAAAAAGAUUGCGACCUCGAUGUUGGAUUAAAAUAAAUAAUUGGUGAAGAAGCUAAU